rnacentral:rRNA from 1 species
UGGGGGAUAUUGCACAAUGGGCGAAAGCCUGAUGCAGCGACGCCGCGUGGGGGAUGAAGGCUUUCGGGUUGUAAACCUCUUUCGCUAUCGAACAAUGCCCGCUUAGGGUGGGUUGAGGGUAGGUGGAGAAGAAGCGCCGGCUAACUACGUGCCAGCAGCCGCGGUAAUACGUAGGGCGCGAGCGUUGUCCGGAAUUAUUGGGCGUAAAGGGCUUGUAGGCGGCUUGUUGCGCCUGCUGUGAAAACGCGGGGCUUAACUUCGCGCGUGCAGUGGGUACGGGCAGGCUUGAGUGUGGUAGGGGUGACUGGAAUUCCAGGUGUAGCGGUGGAAUGCGCAGAUAUCUGGAGGAACACCGAUGGCGAAGGCAGGUCACUGGGCCAUUACUGACGCUGUGGAGCGAAAGCAUGGGUAGCGAACAGG